UACGUAGGGUGCAAGCGUUUGUCCGGAAUUAUUGGGCGUAAAGAGCUCGUAGGCGGCUUGUCGCGUCGAAUGUGAAAUCUCAGGGCUCAACUCUGACAUUGCAUUCGAUACGGGCAGGCUCGAGUUCGGUAGGGGAGACUGGAAUUCCUGGUGUAGCGGUGAAAUGCGCAGAUAUCAGGAGGAACACCGGUGGCGAAAGCGGCUCACUGGACCACAACUGACGCUGAGGCGCGAAAGCUAGGGGAGCAAACAGG
rnacentral:rRNA from 1 species